rnacentral:ncRNA from 1 species
UCGCAGGGUCGCGACUGGCGUUGAGGUGGGUCACCACCGGGGAGCGACCACAUGGCAAUCGACCGUUCGCCUGGGUCGGCCGU